CUAGUAAUCGCGCAUCAGCCAUGGCGCGGUGAAUACGUUCCCGGGCCUUGUACACACCGCCCGUCAAGCCAUGGGAGCCGGGGGCGCCUGAAGUCCGGGACCGCGAGGACCGGCCUAGGGCGAACUGGUAACUGGGGCUAAGUCGUAACAAGGUAAC
rnacentral:rRNA from 1 species